rnacentral:piRNA from 1 species
GUGAGCGCUAUUUCUCUGGUCCAUUCUUC